rnacentral:rRNA from 1 species
CCUACGGGAGGCAGCAGUGGGGAAUAUUGCACAAUGGGGGAAACCCUGAUGCAGCGACGCCGCGUGAGUGAAGAAGUAUUUCGGUACGUAAAGCUCUAUCAGCAGGGAAGAAAAUGACGGUACCUGACUAAGAAGCCCCGGCUAACUACGUGCCAGCAGCCGCGGUAAUACGUAGGGGGCAAGCGUUAUCCGGAUUUACUGGGUGUAAAGGGAGCGUAGACGGUUGCGCAAGUCUGUAGUGAAAUCCCGUGGCUUAACCAUGGAACUGCUUUGGAAACUGUGUAGCUGGAGUACAGGAGAGGUAGGCGGAAUUCCUGGUGUAGCGGUGAAAUGCGUAGAUAUCAGGAGGAACACCGGUGGCGAAGGCGGCUUACUGAACUGUAACUGACGUUGAGGCUCGAAAGCGUGGGGAGCAAACAGGAUUAGAUACCCCUGUAGUC